rnacentral:rRNA from 1 species
UCGUAACAAGGUCUCCGUUGGUGAACCAGCGGGGGGAUCAUUAUCGAGUUAUUCAACUCCCAAACCCUAUGUGAACUUACCACUUGUUGCUUCGGCGCGCGCUUCGGCGCCGCCGAGGACACUUAAACUCUUUGUUUUUAUAAGCAUUUCUGAGUGGCCGAAAGGCAAAAAUACAAAUGAAUCAAAACUUUCAACAACGGAUCUCUUGGUUCUGGCAUCGAUGAAGAACGCAGCGAAAUGCGAUAAGUAAUGUGAAUUGCAGAAUUCAGUGAAUCAUCGAAUCUUUGAACGCACAUUGCGCCCGCCAGCAUUCUGGCGGGCAUGCCUGUUCGAGCGUCAUUUCAACCCUCGAGCCCGACUCUUUUGAGGACGGCUCGGCGUUGGGGGACGGCAGACUCCCCCCGGCAUCUCGCCGGGGACGCCGCCCCCGAAAUCUAGUGGCGGCCCUCCGAGGCGACCUCUGCGUAGUAACUUGUUCUCGCACCGGAAAGCUCAGAGCGGCCACGCCGUAAAACCCCAACUUUUUUCAGGUUGACCUCGAAUCAGGUAGGACUACCCGCUGAACUUAAGCAUAUCAAU